ACUCAAAUGAAUUGACGGGGGCCCGCACAAGCGGUGGAGCAUGUGGUUCAAUUCGAAGCAACGCGCAGAACCUUACCAGCCUUUGACAUCCCGGUCGCGAGCACCAGAGAUGGAGCUCUUCAGUUCGGCUGGACCGGAGACAGGUGCUGCAUGGCUGUCGUCAGCUCGUGUCGUGAGAUGUUGGGUUAAGUCCCGCAACGAGCGCAACCCUCGCCCUUAGUUGCCAUCAUUUAGUUGGGCACUCUAAGGGGACUGCCGGUGAUAAGCCGGAGGAAGGUGGGGAUGACGUCAAGUCCUCAUGGCCCUUACAGGCUGGGCUACACACGUGCUACAAUGGCGGUGACAGAGGGACGCAAAGGAGUAAUCCUUCGCAAAUCUCAAAAAGCCGUCUCAGUUCGGAUUGUGCUCUGCAACUCGAGCACAUGAAGUUGGAAUCGCUAGUAAUCGCAGAUCAGCACGCUGCGGUGAAUACGUUCCCGGGCCUUGUACACACCGCCCGU
rnacentral:rRNA from 1 species